rnacentral:rRNA from 1 species
GUGCCAGCCGCCGCGGUAAUACAGAGGGUGCGAGCGUUAAUCGGAUUUACUGGGCGUAAAGGGCGCGUAGGCGGUUGAAUGAGUGUGAUGUGAAAGCCCCGGGCUUAACCUGGGAAGUGCAUCGCAAACGAUUCGACUGGAGUAGAUGAGAGGGUGGUGGAAUUUCCGGUGUAGCGGUGAAAUGCGUAGAGAUCGGAAGGAACGUCAAUGGCGAAGGCAGCCACCUGGCAUCAUACUGACGCUGAGGCGCGAAAGCGUGGGGAGCGAACAGGAUUAGAUACCCUGGUAGUCCACGCCGUAAACGAUGAGAACUAAAUGUUGGAGGGGGAACCCUUCAGUAUUGAAGCUAACGCGAUAAGUUCUCCGCCUGGGAAGUACUGUCGCAAGACUGAAACUCAAAAGAAUUGACGGGGGCCCGCACAAGCGGUGGAGCAUGUGGUUUAAUUCGAUGCAACGCGAAGAACCUUACCUACCCUUGACAUCCUGCGAAUCUUGCCGAGAGGUGAGAGUGCCGCAAGGAACGCAGAGACAGGUGCUGCAUGGCUGUCGUCAGCUCGUGUUGUGAGAUGUUGGGUUAAGUCCCGUAACGAGCGCAACCCUUGUCCUUAGUUGCCAUCAUUUAGUUGGGGACUCUAAGGAGACCGCCAGUGAUGAACUGGAGGAAGGCGGGGACGACGUCAAGUCAUCAUGGCCUUUAUGGGUAGGGCCACACACGUGCUACAAUGGGGCGUACAGAGGGUCGCCAACCCGCGAGGGGGAGCCAAUCUCAGUAAAGCGUCUCGUAGUCCGGAUCGGAGUCUGCAACUCGACUCCGUGAAGUCGGAAUCGCUAGUAAUCGCGAAUCAGCAUUGUCGCGGUGAAUACGUUCCCGGGCCUUGUACACACCGCCCGUCACGUCAUGGAAGUGGAUGGUACCAGAAGCAGGUAGUUUAUCCGUAAGGGGGGCGCUUGCCACGGUAUGAUUCGUGACUGGGACGAAGUCGUAACAAGGUAGCCGUAG